rnacentral:rRNA from 1 species
GUGCCAGCCGCCGCGGUAAUACGUAGGGGUCGAGCGUUGUCCGGACUUACUGGGCGUAAAGCGUGGGUAGGUGGGUGCUGAUGUGCCGUGUGAAAGCGCCGCGCUUCUCGCGGCGAGGUCGCGGUAGACACAGCACCUAGAGGCACGGAGAGGGGCGUAGAAUUCCCGGUGUAGUGGUGAAAUGCGUAGAUAUCGGGAGGAAUACCAGUGGCGCAAGCGGCGCCCUGGCCGUGACCUGACACUGAGCCACGACGGCGUGGGGAGCAAACGGGAUUAGAUACCCCCGUAGUCC